UGGCCUACGGAGGGGAGAACCAUGGUCUCGAAGGUGGUUUUCCCAGGGCGAGGCUUGUCCAUUGCACCCCGAUAUGCUAACCCUUGUGAUUUCCCCAAAUGUGGGAAACUCGCCUGUAUAAUUUGUGGUAGUGGGGGACUGCGUUCGCGCUCUCCCCUG